rnacentral:lncRNA from 1 species
UUUCAUAUAAAUUUUACCAACCAUUGAUAUUGAAAGGGUUCUAGAGAGAAAGAAAAGGAAAACACAUUCCAAAGCUGCUGAAGCACACAAUAUCACCAUUAGAGGGCAGGGGCACCAGCCUUCCACUACUUCCAUUGCCACUCUACUAAAUGUCAAUGGACCGACCCCCAUUACUUUCUAUACGUGGAUGAGGUUUAUACAGCAAGUACCUGCAAUAUAUGAAUACUAGGCAGUUAAAUAUGUGGUUUUCUCACAGCACAACACAUCUACCAAAACCAAACAACAAAGGAGUACUAUACAAUACAUAUAUGAGAACCACCUUUUGUAUAUAGAUACGCAUAUAGGUAAUAUUUCACACAUGUUUCUCGAUAACCUUUAAUGGAUAGCAUAAACUUGACCAAAAUAAUUACUACCGUGAGAAACAUCUUUUAUAAGCGAAAUCGAAAACCCUGAUGUAACCUACUAUACGUCUACUCAAGACAGAAAAAGGACUGAUCAAUAGGGGUGGUUGUGCAGAAAGACCUACAACAGUUCCAUUAGUGAACUUGGAAGCUUUAUGGAACCAGAUUGCGAACUUGAAUUAGUGGAAAUGUGAUGUGUUGAAGAUUUGAAGGUGUAAAACAAGAAACAGUGGGACAAGCAAUGUAAUUGUUUCUUUCUCUAAGUUAGGUUAUAACUCUGGGGGUACCACAAUACCACAAUGUGAUAACAACCUUGCAGAGUUGCAUGACACAAACAUUACACUACAACGGAUUAACUGCCAAGGUUCACACCAUAACAACCUUAGUACAUAUACUAAUUAAACAAAGUAAACUAUUUUAGAUACAUAACAAGCUCAACUUACACUCCAUGACAAGGACGGAUCCAGGGGGGUGCAACCGCAGCCCCCAAAAUUCGAAUUUUUCAUUAUUUUCUCUAUGUUUCUUGUACAUAAAAAAAAUAAAAUAAAUAAUAGCUGAAAUAUAUAGAAUCGCACCCCCAAGCUUACAAGUAACUUUUGAGAAGGACAGAGUCAAUGACAGUCCUGCACCCCCCAACUCAGAUUCCUGGAUC